AAUUAGAAUUUGAGUCUUUAGAAAUAUAUUGAAACAAAAAUAAAAUUCCAUUUAAGUGUGCUGAAAAUAUGGAACACAUUAAAAAAAUAACCAUGACACUAAAACUACAGUAUUGUUUUAGGCAUGAGUCACCCAACCAGAAAGACAAUAAUUAUAUUCUCCUCGGACUCAUUGUUCUGAGUGUACUUAUAAGCAGUAAGGACCAUUCAGGUCAAAAUGUUGGUUAAAAAAAUGACUGAGAUGCUACAAACAAAUCCUAAAGUUUUGAAGAGACAUACAGUCUUUCCACAGGCAUUAAGUAAUUCUCCUAUUAUUUCUAUUACUUUAAAAAGAAUUACAAAAGAAAAUACAUUAAAAUAUUUUAACUAUGAAAGGAAAAUAAUUUAAAAUAAUUUCAUUGCUACAUAAUUGGGUGUUGUUAAGAUGACAGGCAUCCUCCUAAUGUAUAACUGCGAUAAGUAAAGCAAAAAACACUUUUUGGUAUCUGUGUCAAAUACAUAUAAUCUCAACCUAUAAGAGAAAAACAACUGGACAAAUCCAAAUUCAGAGACAUUUCAGCAAAGUAUUUUUCUUCAAAGGUGUAGUCACAUAAGAUAAAAAUAGUAAUGAAUUAUCACAGAAUAGAAUAACAUAAGAUAUGUAAUAACUAAAUGUCAACUGGAUUUCUGGAUUGAAAAUGGGCAUAGAUAGUGUACAGUUCUAGAAACAUUGUUAUUAUGAUUUGAUCAACCUACAAAAUUACUUUUAACAUUUUUUUCAAUUUUCUAAUUUUUUGAGAAUUAGUCAUUAGAUUGAUUAAAGUAUAUAAAAUUUAGUAAUUAGGUUACGAUAUAAAACCAUACUGUUUCCUAUCAAUUAAAUCUCCUUUUCCUGUAUUGUUUGAAUUCUGCUUUAUUUUUUGUAUUGAUUCAUAUUAUUAAUUUAUUUAUGUCUCAAAUGCUGUCAUUUUUCCUGUUUUCCCCCACAGAUUCCCUUAACCCAAUCACCAUCCUUUUCUGAUUUCUUCUUUCAAAGAGUCAAAACAACAGGAGUUAUAAGGCAUGUUCAGUCCCUGAAUAGCUGUUCAUAUGGCCAUGCAUUUGAAAAUCUACAACAUUGAUAAUGCAGACAUCAGGAAAUAUCAUUCAAAAAUGAUCUUCAAAUAUUAAAUAAUCUCCACUUAUCAGCUAACAACUAUCAGCUUUACAAAACAGGAAGAAUCCAAGAGGAAAAAUAUCCUUGUAAUGUACGUAGAUAAAAUUGAUCAGAUAAGAAGGAAAUCAGAGAGCAACCUUCCUGGAUUCAACACAAGAGAGCCUCAGUUCCUGUAGUGUAUUCGACAGCAGUCUAGCAUGGCUUCCCUCUGUGAGAUUCCACUAAGCUGCUGACUCAGACAGAAGCAGGCAUCAUCUAGUCAAACCACGGUGGAGCUUGGGGACUCUGAUGGAAGAAGAGAAUGAAAAGGAUUAUGGCCUCUAAGGAUAUAGGCACUCCACAGGCUUUGUCUUCAUGCAGGCUAUGGUGUUGUGAAGACAAGAUACCACAUGUGCAGCUGUGAAUAAGUCUGAGAAGGCUGACUUCUUGGAUUUCUGAAGCAUUACUAAGUGAUCCAGAGGAAAUCAGCACCCCCUGCUCAGCAGAGCUCUGGGAAUGCUGACACUCUUGCUUCAUGUUUAUAUUAACCUAGGUCAAAAGAUCACCUGUCAGGGUCUCCGGGGAAGGCAUCAUCCCAACCUUCCAGCAUCAGUGAGCAAGUGCAACAGAUUAAGAAGUUUGUAGAAAUUGACUAAGGAGCUCCAGAAGAUGACAUGUGAGUUGGAAAAUUCCCGUGCAUAGGUAACCAUUGCACCAACAGCAUUUGAAGAGAAGUAGUCAUUGUACCCACUUCUUUGUAGACAGUCCUGACCCCUGUGUGAUAACCUCAGUUUUCUCAGACCACAGGAAAAUGCAACUGUAAUGUCCUCAUGUACAAAUUAAUUUUCUUAUGUUCCUCUCAGAAUCACAACAUAAAGAAAGGAUAGUAGUAUGAUAGGAAGCGAUUUUAUUUCUCAGAAAUGCAGAAGCAGUGGUUUGAAUAAGUGUCUUGGGUUACGGAAAGUAAUGUGUGAGCUCUCAUCAUGGAUUUUAAUAGACAGAGAAUGUAUUUUCUGUCCUCAGACACACAGAAAGUUGGUAAGCUACAGAAGCAUAGUAACUUAAACUUAGAUAAGUAAACUUUUAUUUUUUUAUUUAAAGUUUUAUUUUAUUUGUUUUCAAUGAGUAUCUGUAACUCUCAGACACAACAGAAGUGGAAGUUUAAUGCCAUUAUACAUGGUUUUAUGCCACUAUGAUUUUGCUGGUAGUUGAACUCAGGACCUAUGGAAAAACAGUUAGGACUCUUAAAUGCUGAAUCAUCUUACCAGUCUAAAUUACUUUUGACGAUGAUGGUGAUGAAGAUGAUGAUGAUGAUGAUGAUGAUGAUGAUUACCAUUAUUAUUAUUAUACUUAAACUCUAAAGGGAUCAAGAUUUCCCCUCCUCCAAAGCUCUUUCCCCUCUCCUGUCUCAAGAUAUCCUACAAUAAAGAAGAUACCAUCACAGCUUCCCAUCCUCCCCAGCACUGAAGAAAGAAAAGUUUUACUUUGUCAUGGUUAUGGACAUAUUCUUGUUUACUGGGCUCAGAGCUUCAGAUCUGAUGGAGGGAGACUAUGGAAAUGGAAUCUCCUUUGGAGGAAUCUGCUUACCUUGUAGGAACGGGGAAACAGUGAGCAAAAGUAAGAUGUUGUUCCACGACUUCAUCCCUUGCUAAGAAAAAAGUCUAUUUUUCACAGCUUGGGAACUGGGUAAGCAGUCUAAGCAAGCAUGGCUAAUAAGCCAAACCAGAUGGGUAAACAUUUGUCCAUUGGAUACGAAGGGGGAGCAUUUAAUUGACUAUGCUGACUGUAUCUCCUGUCCACUGUGUUCUAAUCCCAUGCAAGGAAAGUUCGGUGGAUUUUGUCUGUCCUGUGUCAGAACAAUAGUGUUUUCCAUUCUGAAUGCUUUUUCUUCACUGAUAUGAACCUUGAGAGAACAGUGGGAGCCAUGGAAAGCCACAGCCAACAACAUUCUACAUUCUAGAAUAUCAAGGGCUUCUCUUAAGAAACACUUUCUUGUAGUUGUGAAUUCAGCAGGGAGGAAAAUUACAACCAACCUCUGAUCAAGCAGCAUAAAAAUUAGCAUGAGAUAAAGAAAGACUUAAAAAUGAGUCAGAUCUCUGAUACAUAACAAGAAGUGGACCCUGGCACUGUCACAAAUAACAUUAAGGUUAUUUUGUUGAGCAAGAGUUACUCUCCUGGAGUCCUCAGAUGUUCAUAUGUGGUUGAAAAUCUGUCACAGAAGACUGUAUUGAUAUCAUACUCUAAUCCAGAGAGACCAUACAAAAAAGUAUAUUAUUCCUUCUGGAGUAUUGGUUGAAAUUAAUUCACAUCACACAUUUGUAUGUGAGGCUUAAAUUAAUGUUCUACAUAGACAAAAGCAUUAUCUCAAUCCUUGCCUUUGUAAUUUGUUUUGUUUUGUUUUUAAUUUUAAAAAUGGCUUAGUAUUCUUCAGUUAAACAAUUGAACUGAAGUGACUGUUCCUCAGACUGUAUACAUAGAAAACAUCUGAGUAGUAGUUGACAUUUUUAGUCGGGGCGUCUCCCCAUGGAUCUGUUUGUGCCUGAAUAAGCAUGCAUAGACUUAUUUCAGUUAAGGGAAUCAUGUAGUAUUAAAAAAAUUAGAGGAUCCAUCUGCUGUAAAUAUUUUCUUUUACUCAGGUGAAGGAAGGUUUAUCAAAGGCUGUGUAUCAAAGGUUGUAGAUAUUACACCAUCCAUAGGAGAUAAUAUAUCAAGAAAGAUUCUGCAGGGAUGCAGAGAUUGACCUAAAUAUCCCCACACAAUUCUAAGCCAGGACGGACAAGAUAUCACUUCACGUGGAAAUUUAAAAUAAUCUGAUGCUAUGGUAUGUGGAGUGUUAAUAAAGAAAAACCACCUAAAAAGCAUAUGCAUAUAUAGAAGAUGCUAUUCAAAAAUAUACAGAGGCAGUUUGGAACCUACAUUUAGCACAAAGAGAUUGAAUCCCCACUUCACAGAUACUGAAUAGAACCACUGAGUAUUAAGAAAUCUAUAUUAGAAAUCACUUGCCUAUCACAUGUCUGUAUAACUAGGUAGUCACAGCAAACAUGACAUUCGGAAAGCAUAGCUUGAACUUGUCAACAAUGGAGGGAGUGCAUGUAGUGAACGAGGUUUGGGCAUGAAACUCAAAAGUCGAAAAUACCACUGAGAUUUGAGUUUUGAGGACAAUAAAUACUUAAUGACUUUUGGGACAAAAUUUGAAUCUAAAGACUCCUAAAAUUAUUUAUCAAUCAGCUCUGAAUCCCUAUGGAGAUUGGUGGAUAUUAUGAAUUUAGUCUGUGCCCCAGAGGUAUAGGUAAAUGGUGUAAUUUGAAGUGAUUAGGUAUGCUAAAGAGGCAUACAAAACUGAGGAGGCCAUGGUAUCAUUGAAUAAGUGUGCUUCUCCAAAACGUAGCAUGAUUUUUUGUGCAGUGACUUAGACACUAUACACACACGCGCAUGCACACACAUAAACACACAGAUACACAUAUACACACAUACACACAAACACACACACAAACUCACACAAACACACACACACACACACACAAAACCCACAAAUAAUUGACUUCCUCUGUGCUGUGUGUGGCAUGCUGGAAUUAUCCAAGAUAUGAAGAGUAUUCUCCACAAGUAAGUUAAACCCAAACUCAAUGAAAAAUUUAGAAUUCCUCCUCCUUUCUUGAGAAAGCAUUCUGUGCAUGAGUAAUGCUUACAUUUUAAAGUUUAAGAGGGAUGACUUGAAAACAGUAACUACUUAAUCCACGUUGAAACAGCAUUUCAGAGAUGUGUAGUGAUUUAAUUUUGAUUUUAUGAAACUGCAAUUUCUCAGGUCUCAUUAGUGCAGUAUUGAACCAUGUCAUUCUUAAACAUAACUGUAGGGACAGUAAGAGUUUGGAGAUUUCUCUAAGUUGAAAAACCUCAGAAAUCUUAUUAGCAACAACUUAAUUCAAAAAUGGAGAAACUUGUGCUUGGGUAAGGUCCGGUACCUAAGACUGAGCAGCUGGUUCAAAGCCAAGGACAAACAUUGCAUGUAACCAAGGACUGCUGGGUACAGAACCUGUUACUAAAAUGGAGAAAGCUGAAGUCUUCAGGAAAUAUGGAUAAGGAAUACUUGGAAUGGUAGAAAUUAUAUGCUAUAUAUUUAGUGGUACACACUGAGAGGAUGAAUUUUUGAAAUGUUUAUCUCCUUAGGAGUGUAAACAUUUGAGCUAAGUAAAUGCUGUAGCCUAGGUAGGAAAGGGAAGUGAGUUUCCAUUCAGACACUGGAAUUACCUUCAUGCCGAACAUAAACAUGGGAGGGUUUCAAAGAAAUGUUGAAGCAUAUCAAGAGCUUCUGAGCAUCCAGGAGGAGUCUGAGAGGAUUAAUUUGUUCUUGUUAUGAGGGAUUUUCUAGUUUAUUGUUGGAAAUCCAUCAGGAGAAGUUCAAAGUCUAGAAACCAAAUUCUAUACAAGUCUCAUAUUAGCUUUGGAAGACUGUGACCUGUAAAGGCCUCAAAAAGGCAUAGCUAGAUUCACCUGUUAAAAUGUAUUACAAUUGGUGACUGACUGCCUUUCCACUAUGUUCCCAAGGCCAGCCGCAAGGUACGACUGUGGUGCUAAACCUUCGGCUGGAGAAUUCUGCUUAGCUUAAUUACUGUGUUUUGUUUUUGGUUUGAGUUGUGUUUGCUUCAGGUAUUAGUACUGUUGGUUUGGUUGGAAGUUUUGUUAUUCAUUCUUAAUAAAUUUUUGUUCUUUUGGUGAAUUUGCAGUUUUGAUAACAUCAUGCACA